UACGUAGGGGGCGAGCGUUGUCCGGAGUUACUGGGCGUAAAGGGUGCGCAGGCGGCCUUGCGCGUCGCGAGUGAAAUCUCCCGGCUCAACUGGGAGGGUGGUCGCGAGACGGCAGGCUUGAGGCUCGGUGAGGGGCGUGGAAUGCCGGGUGGAGCGGUGAAAUGCGUAGAGAUCCGGAGGAACACCGACGGCGUAGGCAGCGCCCUAGACG
rnacentral:rRNA from 1 species